UACACAUGCAGUCGAACGGUGAAGCAGAGCUUGCUCUGUGGAUCAGUGGCGAACGGGUGAGUAACACGUGAGCAACCUGCCCCGGACUCUGGGAUAAGCGCUGGAAACGGCGUCUAAUACCGGAUACGAGCUGCGACCGCAUGGUCAGCAGUUGGAAAGAUUUUUUGGUCUGGGAUGGGCUCACGGCCUAUCAGCUUGUUGGUGAGGUAAUGGCUCACCAAGGCGUCGACGGGUAGCCGGCCUGAGAGGGUGACCGGCCACACUGGGACUGAGACACGGCCCAGACUCCUACGGGAGGCAGCAGUGGGGAAUAUUGCACAAUGGGCGGAAGCCUGAUGCAGCAACGCCGCGUGAGGGAUGACGGCCUUCGGGUUGUAAACCUCUUUUAGCAGGGAAGAAGCGAAAGUGACGGUACCUGCAGAAAAAGCGCCGGCUAACUACGUGCCAGCAGCCGCGGUAAUACGUAGGGCGCAAGCGUUAUCCGGAAUUAUUGGGCGUAAAGAGCUCGUAGGCGGUUUGUCGCGUCUGCUGUGAAAUCCCGAGGCUCAACCUCGGGUCUGCAGUGGGUACGGGCAGACUAGAGUGCGGUAGGGGAGAUUGGAAUUCCUGGUGUAGCGGUGGAAUGCGCAGAUAUCAGGAGGAACACCGAUGGCGAAGGCAGAUCUCUGGGGCCGUUACUGACGCUGAGGAGCGAAAGGGUGGGGAGCAAACAGGCUUAGAUACCCUGGUAGUCCACCCCG
rnacentral:rRNA from 1 species